CUUUCACUACGACAACUUCUCGCUUUGUCCACAACUUUAUCAAGUUAUGAUAAAGCUCUACGCGGAGAGAAACAUUGGGGUGACCUGCAGACCAUCGUGUAGUUGAUAGGCUUCAAGACCAGUUAACCAACAAACCAGCUGUUUACAUUUAUUGGAUCUCAGAUUUUGUAUAUCUUCAGCAAAGACACAAGCUGCAAAACAAGUUUGAACUAGGACGAGAUUUCGCCCUGGUUAGAGCUCUAUCAAAUUGUCACUUGACAAAGCUCUACACAGAGAGCUGUGACAUAAAGAGACACACCACGACGUUGGUGAAUUUCGUCCACAACAAAAGAUAAGUAAGGUUUAGCUUUGCAUUGUGUUUAGGCUCACAGCUGUGUGGGCAGACCUCUCCAUGUAUGCCCAGCUGUGAAAAAUACUGUGACCACCACAUUCCAAGAUUGACCCGCCAUCUGUUUCUAAGUCAUCAGAGAUCAUUCAUCUUCUUUGACUUGUGAAUAAAGGAUAUUUUAAAUAGCUGCACUUUGUUUAGUUACAACUACUACUACAGCUACUACUGUUACUACUACUACUACUACUACUACUACUACUACUACUACUACUACUCUGCUGCUGCUUCUACUACUACUGCUGCUGCUGCUGCUACUACUACCGCUACUACUAUUACUACUACUUCUACUACUACUACUACUACUACUACUACUAAUAUCAUUAUUAUUAUUACUACUACUACUACUACUGCUGCUUCUACUAUUACAGUUACUACUACUACUACUGCUUCUACUACAACUACUACUACUGCUUCUACUACU